rnacentral:rRNA from 1 species
GAUGAACGCUAGCGGCAGGCCUAAUACAUGCAAGCUGAACGGCAAGAUUUGUAGCAAUACGAGUCCUAGAGUAGCGUAAGGGUGCGUAACACGUAUGCAAUCUGCCCGCAACAGGAGGAUAGCUUAGCGAAAGUUGAGAUAAGACUCCAUAAGAUCACGAGAGGGCAUCUGAUUGUGAUUAAACUACAAGGGGUUGCGGAUGAGCAUGCGUCUGAUUAGUUAGUUGGCGGGGUAACGGCCC